rnacentral:rRNA from 1 species
UACGUAGGGUGCGAGCGUUAAUCGGAAUUACUGGGCGUAAAGCGUGCGCAGGCGGUUCUGUAAGCCCGAUGUGAAAUCCCCGGGCUUAACCUGGGAACUGCAUUGGUGACUGCAGAGCUAGAGUGUGUCAGAGGGAGGUGGAAUUCCGCGUGUAGCAGUGAAAUGCGUAGAGAUGCGGAGGAACACCGAUGGCGAAGGCAGCCUCCUGGGAUAACACUGACGCUCAGGCACGAAAGCGUGGGGAGCAAACAGG